rnacentral:rRNA from 1 species
CAGCCGCCGCGGGAAUACGAAGGGGGCUAGCGUUGUUCGGAAUUACUGGGCGUAAAGGGUGCGUAGGCGGAUUCUUAAGUCAGGGGUGAAAUCCCGAGGCUCAACCUCGGAACUGCCUUUGAUACUGGGGAUCUUGAGUCCGGAAGAGGUGAGUGGAACUGCGAGUGUAGAGGUGAAAUUCGUAGAUAUUCGCAAGAACACCGGUGGCGAAGGCGGCUCACUGGUCCGGAACUGACGCUGAGGCACGACAGCGUGGGGAGCAAACAGGAUUAGAUACCCCAGUAGUCCCUGUCUCUUAUAC